GACGAACGCUGGCGGCGUGCCUAAUACAUGCAAGUAGAACGCUGAAGGAGGAGCUUGCUCUUCUGGAUGAGUUGCGAACGGGUGAGUAACGCGUAGGUAACCUGCCUGGUAGCGGGGGAUAACUAUUGGAAACGAUAGCUAAUACCGCAUAAUAGUAGAUGUUGCAUGAUAUUUACUUAAAAGGUGCAAUUGCACCACUACCAGAUGGACCUGCGUUGUAUUAGCUAGUUGGUGGGGUAACGGCUCACCAAGGCGACGAUACAUAGCCGACCUGAGAGGGUGAUCGGCCACACUGGGACUGAGACACGGCCCAGACUCCUACGGGAGGCAGCAGUAGGGAAUCUUCGGCAAUGGACGAAAGUCUGACCGAGCAACGCCGCGGGAGUGAAGAAGGUUUUCGGAUCGUAAAGCUCUGUUGUAAGAGAAGAACGAGUGUGAGAGUGGAAAGUUCACACUGUGACGGUAUCUUACCAGAAAGGGACGGCUAACUACGUG
rnacentral:rRNA from 1 species